rnacentral:rRNA from 1 species
AAAACGACUCUCGGCAACGGAUAUCUCGGCUCUUGCAUCGAUGAAGAACGUAGCGAAAUGCGAUACUUGGUGUGAAUUGCAGAAUCCCGUGAACCAUCGAGUCUUUGAACGCAAGUUGCGCCCAAAGCCAUUAGGCCAGGGCACGCCUGCCUGGGUGUCACAC